rnacentral:rRNA from 1 species
GAGUUUGAUCUUGGCUCAGAUUGAACGCUGGCGGUAUGCCUUACACAUGCAAGUCGAACGGCAGCACGGGAGCUUGCUCCUGGUGGCGAGUGGCGAACGGGUGAGUAAUGCAUCGGAACGUAUCCUGGAGUGGGGGAUAACGUAGCGAAAGUUACGCUAAUACCGCAUAUUCUGUGAGCAGGAAAGCGGGGGACCUUCGGGCCUCGCGCUCUUGGAGCGGCCGAUGUCGGAUUAGCUAGUUGGUGAGGUAAAGGCUCACCAAGGCGACGAUCCGUAGCAGGUCUGAGAGGAUGAUCUGCCACACUGGAACUGAGACACGGUCCAGACUCCUACGGGAGGCAGCAGUGGGGAAUUUUGGACAAUGGGGGCAACCCUGAUCCAGCCAUGCCGCGUGAGUGAAGAAGGCCUCGG